rnacentral:rRNA from 1 species
UACGGGGGGGGCAAGCGUUGUUCGGAAUUACUGGGCGUAAAGGGCUCGUAGGCGGCCAACUAAGUCAGACGUGAAAUCCCUCGGCUUAACCGGGGAACUGCGUCUGAUACUGGAUGGCUGGAGGUUGGGAGAGGGAUGCGGAAUUCCGGGUGUAGCGGUGAAAUGCGUAGAUAUCUGGAGGAACACCGGUGGCGAAGGCGGCAUCCUGGACCAAUUCUGACGCUGAGGAGCGAAAGCCAGGGGAGCAAACGGG